UCUGGGUAUGGUGUAUAAAGUUCCACUCUGGGGGAUCGAAUUCAGACGAGUCUUCCUGCAGGAGAAAGCCGUAGUGACCUGUAAAAACGAAGCGUGCGUAAUUUACAAUGGCGAAAUGGGGAAAUUCAAUGGACGUUCUAAAAUGUUUGCGGUUGCUGAGCUGGAUGACAGGAUUCAGACGGAAGGGGGGGAACUUGAUGAGAUGUAUCAAGAGAUCUAUGAUGAUAAAUAUUGGCAUUUUUCAGUAUAUUCCGAUUCUGACUGUGAGACGUAUGGAUCCCUGCCAGGGUGCCAGCGGCACCCAAACGCAAGCAGCAAAACUCCCGCAGUUGCUACAGUCAACAUGGGCGCAAAAAAGCCCCUACGUUGCCCACGUGGAGCCGUCACCAACUGAGAUGGAGAGCGAUAACAAGGGGUGGACGCACAGUUUGGGUGAAACAGCCUGUUGGUAACGCCACGGGUCGAUUAUUAACACAGAACGACACCAGAGUGGAUCAGGCCCUACACCAUAUGCAAAAGACAGAAUCGACGUGCCUACUCCAGCUUUCAUGUUUGUGUACAUGGAGAUGUUGCAGCGCAUCAGGACUGUACUGUGGCUGAGGCGCACCGGGCGCAAGGAAAAAACACAACAUGGACUUGUCUGUGAGGAAAUUGGAAGCAUUCAUUCGGUCCUGUAUGUCCGUGGGCUAUACCGCAAUAGACAAGCGUCUUGGAUGGCUACUGGUCAUGUUUAAAAUCAGAUUUCUUUCGAGACACAAUGCCAAUGGACCGCUUCACAAAAUCAUGCGUACUGCGCUUUGACACAAGAGAGAUCACGCCCCCGGACAAAUUCUAACAAAUUCGCCGUGGUCUCAGAAGUUUGGAACGCGUUUGUACGCGAACUGCGUUGCAUGUUACAAGCCAGGGUUGAACAUCACUGUUGAGGAGCAACGGUUCCUUACAAGUGGGGAGGUCAUCAAGUUUUCGUUGACCGCUGACGUAGACAGCAAGUACGUGCUAAAUGUCAUUCCCAUGUCGUUCCUUAUUCGUGGGAAGAUGAAUCUCAAGCCUGAAAAUGUGGCAUUGAAGCUUGUGAACCUUACUCUUGCGGGGAGAAAUGUCACUACGGACAAGUUCUCGCACAUCCCUGCCAUUAGCAAAUAAGUUGAUUGCCAACAAUACCAACUUGGUGGGCCGUGAGUCAUUGCGGACGAGAACUGCCUCCCGUGAUGCGUAAUCAGGCACAGACAAAGCUAUACUCCACUACCGUGCUAAAGCAUGACAAAGCAACCCUUACGGUUUACAGGAAGUAACCCAAGAAAGAACGUCUGUAUUCUGGACACUAUGCACCCGACUGUCGCCAUCGGGAGCGACCGAACGAGAGAACCGGAGACCGUGACGUUCUAUAAUAGCAACAGGGUUGACGUAAAUAGGAUGACAAGAGAGCGUACGGUGGAGUGUGUGACAGGGUUGGAGAAAGGAGGUUCACACCGCUGCCCCUUGCGGUAUUCUUCAACCUUCUUGACCUGGCUGCAAUCAACGCAUAUGUUUUGUUCACGCAAUGCACCGCUAAGACCGUGCCAAGGAGAGAUUUCGUCAUGAUCUGGCAUUC